rnacentral:rRNA from 1 species
GAUGAACGCUAGCUACAGGCUUAACACAUGCAAGUCGAGGGGCAGCAUGGUCUUAGCUUGCUAAGGCCGAUGGCGACCGGCGCACGGGUGAGUAACACGUAUCCAACCUGCCGUCUACUCUUGGACAGCCUUCUGAAAGGAAGAUUAAUACAAGAUGGCAUCAUGAGUUCACAUGUUCACAUGAUUAAAGGUAUUCCGGUAGACGAUGGGGAUGCGUUCCAUUAGAUAGUAGGCGGGGUAACGGCCCACCUAGGCGACGAUGCAUAGCCGAGUUGAGAGACUGAUCGGCCACAUUGGGACUGAGACACGGCCCAA